AACCGGCGGACGUCGACCUUUGCGCCCGUGUGCCAAUAUCCACCUCGAUUUCCGACACGGGUCGUCCCCGGAUGUUCCGAUAAGCUUUCACGUUAAUCCGGGCGUUUCGCCGGAUUUACAGGCCACCGGGACGUCGUUGAUAGGUUCGACGGACGAAACGCAAAACCAAAAUUUAUACGUGUACAAUAUAUACGUAUAUUGCGAGGUUUAUCGUGUAGGCAUCGACUUGGACUUUCGUCGACGUACAGGAUAUCCGCAAGAGUUCGGUUUUAUUGACCGAAAAUACUAAAU